rnacentral:lncRNA from 1 species
GCAGAUCUCUGGCUUCUCCUCUAGUGGAUGAGUCAGCAGCUCUCACAGGUUUCCAGGUAGCUUCUGAGAAAUACUGAGGUUGAAUAGGUGAUUUUCCGUGUGCACCCUGGCAAGACCACUUGGUGGAGGAAUGCAAAUGGAGUAAGCCUUUAGGAAGAUGCUGGUUUGGUUCUCAGGCUUUUCUAUGGCAGAAAAGGGUCCUGGCAGGUAAGGUCAGAGUCUGGGAUUUCAUGCAUUAGAACUCUAGGCUAGAAAAACAGGGUCUGGCUCCUGGCAUACAUGCUUGUGUUCAAAAUUUAUUCAUUCAUUCAACAAAUAUCCAUUAGGUAUCUUCUUUGCACCAGGUUUUUCCUAGGUUCUUUGGGUAGAAUUGUAAAUAGAAUAUACCUCUUUGUCUGAAGCACUGACAGCUUGGAUAUAGGACAUGAGUAAGUAGAGAUCUAGUCCUGGCUUUAUCUUUAUAAUAUAUAGUAAGACUAACAAGAGAUUUGGAAUCUUAAUGCAUGUUUUAUACCUUUUGCUACUCAAUAUUGGGUUGCUAGGACAUGUAGCUAUAAUUCAUUCAUUUUCUCUUCUGUAGUUUUUCCAUCUCAUGAAUCUUUCACACUCGAUCCAAUCUCCUUUGAGUAGAUCUGAACUGCUUUCAGGCUUGGACUAUUUUACAUUAUGUUGAAAAGAACCUUCUUGUCCAUAUUUCCUAGUACACAGGUUCAUAGAUAUUCCCAGUACUGGGUUCAUUCCACCCAGUAGUGGAAUGAAAUUAGUAACCAAUAAGAUAAAUACAUCUAUGACUUUAACAGAUAAUGCAAAAUUGUUCAAGAACAGUGAACGAGAGUUCCCAUUUUCCCAUAUUAUAUCUAGUACUUGGCAUUCUCACUUUUACAUGUAGUUAGUCUGGUGAAUAUGAAGUAUCUCAUUAUGUUUAAUGUUAAAGUCACACAUAUCCUGUUGUGAUUAGGGCCCUAAUCUAUGGGCCCUAAAUCUAUGGCUUGUGGCUAUAGAUUCUCAAUGAAUAGUUGUCUCCCCUGGACCCAGAGUCAAGGCCCACUUUAUUUGCUUACUUUACUUACUUUGUUUGCUUGUUUUCUGUUUUCCUUUUUCACUUAGUCCCUAGACUGACUUUUAACCCUAUGAGUCCUAAUGUCUUUUUUCCCCGGAGCAAAAAUAGGGAGCAGUACACAUCCCAGAUGAGCUACCAGUGCCAUGUGCCAGUCAGGGGUUCAAUCAGAUAAGAACAACCAGUAGGAAAUAUAUAUUAAGAAAUUCAUUGCAAGAAAUUGGCUCAUGCAGUAGUGGGGGCUGGCUAGGCAAGUCCCAAAUUCAUGAGCAGGCCAUCCAAAAGGGCAGGCUAGAACUCUUGGGCACAGGCUGAAACAGCUGUGCUCAAAAAAGACAACAUUUCUUCUUCUGGAAAGCCUCAGCUCUGCUCUAGACCCAGUUCUGCUUUUCGACUGAUUAAAUCAGGCCUGCUACAUUAUGAAGAGUAAUUUUCCUUACUAACAGCCAACUGAUUAUAGGCUUUAAUCACAUCUACAAAAUGCCUUCCUAGCAACACC